rnacentral:rRNA from 1 species
CUGGAGCUUGCUCCGGUGGAUUAGUGGCGAACGGGUGAGUAACACGUGAGCAAUCUGCCCUUGACUCUGGGAUAACUGCGGGAAACUGUAGCUAAUACCGGAUACGAGAUUCGGAGGCAUCUCCGGAUCUGGAAAGAAUUUCGGUCAAGGAUGAGCUCGCGGCCUAUCAGCUUGUUGGUGAGGUAAUGGCUCACCAAGGCGACGACGGGUAGCCGGCCUGAGAGGGUGACCGGCCACACUGGGACUGAGACACGGCCCAGACUCCUACGGGAGGCAGCAGUGGGGAAUAUUGCACAAUGGGCGAAAGCCUGAUGCAGCAACGCCGCGUGAGGGAUGAAGGCCUUCGGGUUGUAAACCUCUUUUAGCAGGGAAGAAGCGAAAGUGACGGUACCUGCAGAAAAAGCACCGGCUAACUACGUGCCAGCAGCCGCGGUAAUACGUAGGGUGCAAGCGUUGUCCGGAAUUAUUGGGCGUAAAGAGCUCGUAGGCGGUUUGUCGCGUCUGCUGUGAAAACCUGAGGCUCAACCUCAGACCUGCAGUGGGUACGGGCAAGCUAGAGUGCGGUAGGGGAGAUGGGAAUUCCUGGUGUAGCGGUGGAAUGCGCAGAUAUCAGGAGGAACACCGAUGGCGAAGGCACAUCUCUGGGCCGUAACUGACGCUGAGGAGCGAAAGCGUGGGGAGCGAACAGGAUUAGAUACCCUGGUAGUCCACGCCGUAAACGG